AACGCGAAGAACCUUACCUACUCUUGACAUCCAGAGAACUUUCCAGAGAUGGAUUGGUGCCUUCGGGAACUCUGAGACAGGUGCUGCAUGGCUGUCGUCAGCUCGUGUUGUGAAAUGUUGGGUUAAGUCCCGCAACGAGCGCAACCCUUAUCCUUUGUUGCCAGCGGUUCGGCCGGGAACUCAAAGGAGACUGCCAGUGAUAAACUGGAGGAAGGUGGGGAUGACGUCAAGUCAUCAUGGCCCUUACGAGUAGGGCUACACACGUGCUACAAUGGCGCAUACAAAGAGAAGCGACCUCGCGAGAGCAAGCGGACCUCAUAAAGUGCGUCGUAGUCCGGAUUGGAGUCUGCAACUCGACUCCAUGAAGUCGGAAUCGCUAGUAAUCGUAGAUCAGAAU
rnacentral:rRNA from 1 species